ensembl:lncRNA
AUGGAGUUUGUUAAAGAGGAGAGUGAAGAGAACACGAGAGAACCAGAAACCUGGAGAAUAAAACAAGAGGAGCCAGAAACCUGGGGAAUAAAACACGAGCCAGAAACCUGGGGAAUAAAACACGAGGAGCCAGAAACCUGGGGAAUAAAACACGAGGAGCCAGAAACCCGGGGAAUAAAACACGAGGAGACAGAAACUGGGAGAAAAACCAGAAACCGAGAGAAUAAAACACGAGGAGCCAGAAACCAGAAUAAGACACGAUCCAGAAACUUGCAGAAUAAAACACGAGGAGCCGGGAGAAUAAAACACGAGGAACAAGGAGAUACCUGAAAAAGGUGAAUGCUGUAGCAGCAAAGUGUGGGACUACUUCUGCAAAUACUUUAACUUUAGUAUUAUAAUUUAUUUACAGUACACACACAGACUGUUAAAACCAGCUUCAACUGGAAGAAAGGAAAAGUGUUAAAUGUUUAAAACCAGACUGUUUUUUUGAUCAAUAAAAAAUAUAUACUUUUGAUGUGCAAUUGUUUAGUCAUUGAGACUGUAAUCUAAGGCUUUUUUUAACAUACAUCCCUUCUGGAAAAUGGUUUAUACAGCCCACAUACAUAGAACAGGCGGAUAUUUUGCUAUUGAAUGUGUGUAAGUGCAGUUUAUAGGAAAUUGGUCUAAUAUCCAGUUUAUUUUCAAAAUCAAAAUAUCGGCUUAUAAAUCAGCUCUUUUCGAGGUAAUAUCGGCAUCGGCCCCCAAAAAUCCAUAUUGGUCGGGCUCUACUUCAUUCAUUUUCCACCAAGACAGUGGAUUCUCCUCCUUGGACAGGGGAUGUUCUCCGAAAUACAUCAAGAUCUGUGGAAUAAAAUGUGUUUUGUUUUGGUUAUUUAUAUUUGCAAAAAGUUUCUGUUUUAAAAAUGUUCUAUUAUGUGAACUGCCUUAUUGUGGAAAUUGUUAAAUAAGAGCAAAAAAAAAAAAAGAUCUUGCCUACCUCCUGCACAGCUUGGUUUAACUGCUGCUCCUCAUCUUCUUCAUCACUGGAGUUGGAGUCUGAUCACAGUAUGUCGAGGAACGAUGUGACCUUCUUGACAUGCGCUUCUUGGAGAGUUGUGUGCUGUGCUAGAUGCUCCAUUUUCUCUUGCAGUGGGCUGCUUCAUUUGCUUUUUGUCAGCAACAGCUAGUGCCAUGGUUUGUACUGUGCUUUGGACCUUGAAUACUUGGUCAGCAGUGAAGAACUUUAGUUUUUGAAACCUGGGAUCUAGAGCAGUAGCAAGUAGGGUAAUGUUUGGAGAUUCAGGUGUAAACUCUGUCAGUCCUUGCCAUCUUGCUGUGAUCUGUUCUGUCGCAUGAGCCUGGAAUGACCUCACUGGUGCAGUCUCAGGAUCUGGACUCUGUACGGUGAUCUUAAGAUUGUGCACUAGCUGUGGAAGUGCAGAAAGUGUAACAUUGCUGUCCACUCAGAAACACUGUUGCUGCUUCAAAAGGCUCAAGAACCUUGCACAGCUCUUCAAUCAGGCUCCACUGUCAGAGAGUGUAGCAGUCACUGGCCAUCUUUGUUCUAGCAGCCUGGACAACAUCUGAUAGGAGCUGUUCCACCGUGUGCAUACAUCUUGCACUAGCAUGUUUGUCUCGGUGCCCAUUUGCUUCUGCUUCUCCUUCAACUUGGUGCAUGCUAAUUCACUCUUCUUAAAAUGUUCAUCAAGGCAUCUUAAAGAAGCCACACACUUGGAGAUAGCUUGGUGGAUCUUUAGCGAGCUUUGUACAACCAAGUUGAGGGUGUGCCCUGCACAUCGCCAUGAUGCCCAUCCAUGCCUUUCUUGCUAAAUCUUUGCUGCUGCUACGACAUUAGCACUGUUGUCGUGAACAAAGGCCUUGAUUUUCUCUAGUGGAAUGUCGAAUUUGGCAAUUACAUUCUCAAUCCACUUUACAAUAUUAGCAGCCGUGUGUCUCUCUUCAAGGGGCAUCAUUGUCAGGCAGUGGGACAUUUCCCAAUCCUCCCCAAGAUAGUGACGCGUCACCCCAAGAUAAGCCUCUGUUGCAACGCUCGUCCAAAUAUCAGUUGUUAGUGCAACACUGUCAGUCUCCUGCAGGG